UUGCUGGCAUAUGAUGGCGUAUAUACAUGGUGGAUGUGCAGGCUACAGAAUAACGUCCAGGUUUCACUCCAGAUCCACCCAGGGGGAAGGAAAUGGCUGCAAUGGAGCUGGCUCAGGUGUUUCCAGGAGUUCUCUUGUGUGGGGAAUAAGGCCAAGAGAUGCUGUCACACCCCACCUUAUGUAGCUUUUCCAUAUGGCAGGACCCCUUUGUUUGAAACUGAGUUCCCAGUCCAGUUUGUGGAAAAAUACAGGUACCAAGAUGGAGUUCAGUGUCAUGUGGUCUGAUCAUAUGCCCUAGCAUGCCCUGCUGAGUGCUAAGCUCUUGCAUGGUCCAUUGUCUUUGUUGAUGAGCCUUCAGCACUGUCUGGCUUCUUCGUUGUUGUACCUGAAAGACUAGUUGUAGGUGUUACCCAAAGUAAGCACAUUUGAAAUACAGAUACACAGUGAAUAUCCAUAACUUCAGAUACAAACAUGAUCCACGCACACAAAUGGGAUAAUCAUAUUCAGCAAAUCAUAACUUUUCCAAUGACACCACACAUGAUGCAUCUUGCACAAAAUGCAUCAUAAUUAUGUCCUAAUAAUAUUAUAACCAUACCACUAUGCUGAAUAUGGGGUGUAGUGUCAGAUAGGGCCUAAUUUCAAGGCACAGGAGUUGGGAAUGGAACUUCCCGUCUUUGUGGAACAGGAAAUAGCCCUCCAAAAAGGGCUGGGAAAACUUCCCAGACUCCCAGUGCUGGAGCCUGAAUCUACUGACACUUCAUUUGUUGCUACCACCCCCUAUCUUUGUGGUAACUGCAAACUUUAUCAGUGAUGAUUUUAUUUUAUUUUCUAGGUCACUGAUAAGAAUGUUAAUAGCACAGGGCCAAGAACCAGUUCUUGCAGGAAGCUGCUAGAAAUAAAUCCACUCGACCAUGGUUCCCCAUUUACAAUCCCAGUUUUUAAUCUAUUUCAUGUAUGCCGUGUUUGUUUUGUAUCAUUCUAGUUUUUUAGUCAAAAUGUUGUGCUAGACCAAGUUGUAUGGCUUACAGAAGUCUAGGAAUAUUACGUCAGUACUGUUAGCUGCAAUCAAACUUUUUUCAUCUCCUCCAAUAAGGAUGUCCAGUUAGUUUGAUAGGAUCUAUUUUCUCUAAACCUUUAAUGGGUACUAAUUAUAUUACCCUCCUUUAAUUCUUUAUUAAUGAAAUCCAGUAUCGACUGCUCCGUUAUCUUCCCAAGUAUCGAUGUCAGACUGAUACUCUUGUAAUUAGCUGGGGCAUCUCUUUUACACUUUUUAAUACUGGCACAGCAUUAGCUUUAUUCCAGUCUUCUGGAAUUUCCCCAGUGUUCCAAGUCCUAAUUAAAAUCAUUAUUAAUAGUCCACCAUGCUCCUCCACCGGGCAUUUUAAAAGUCUUGGAUACAAGUUAUCAGGACCUGCUGAUUUAAACAUGUCUAACUUUAAUAGCCACUGUUUAAUGUCCUCGUGAAGUCCUGUUGGAAUGGAGUGUCGUCGUCAACAUCUGAUGAUAUGAGUCACAUCAUCUGUUUUUCUCCAAAUCCAGGAAAGAAAUAUUUAUUAAAGACUUUUACCUCUUCUGCAUUAUUUUUGAUAAUUCUGCCAUUUCUAUAUAGUAAUUUAUCACGAUCUUUGUUGAGAUUCAUAUACUUUUAAAAACUUCCUUCUUAUUUUCAUUGAUUUGGUCAUUGUUUUCUGAUAGCUUCCCUUACCAAUUUUCUACAGUUCUAACCUUCUAACUUAUAUUCUUUACUAUUGACUUCCCCUUUCUUCCAUAUAUUUUAUUUGGAGAGUGUUGGGAUUCCUACCAGGGAGCCACCAGCAGGGUCCAGAGACAGCCUCAUCUCCUAUAUCAAGCUCUGGCUAGUAGGGGCCGGUGACGUUCGAGGAAGUGGCUGUGUAUUUCACUAGGGAAGAGCAGGCUCUGCUGGACCUCAGUCAGAGAGACCUUUACAGGGAUGUCAUGCAGGAGAACUAUGAGUCGGUGGUCUUGCUGGGGUUUCCAGUUUCCAAACCUGAUGUGAUCUCACAGCUGAAACAAGGGGAAGAGCCAUGGGUCCCAGACCUCCUGGGCUCUGAG